rnacentral:rRNA from 1 species
UGGGGAAUAUUGGACAAUGGGCGCAAGCCUGAUCCAGCCAUGCCGCGUGUGUGAAGAAGGCCUUAUGGUUGUAAAGCACUUUAAGCGAGGAGGAGGCUACUGAAGUUAAUACCUUCAGAUAGUGGACGUUACUCGCAGAAUAAGCACCGGCUAACUCUGUGCCAGCAGCCGCGGUAAUACAGAGGGUGCAAGCGUUAAUCGGAUUUACUGGGCGUAAAGCGCGCGUAGGCGGCUAAUUAAGUCAAAUGUGAAAUCCCCGAGCUUAACUUGGGAAUUGCAUUCGAUACUGGUUAGCUAGAGUGUGGGAGAGGAUGGUAGAAUUCCAGGUGUAGCGGUGAAAUGCGUAGAGAUCUGGAGGAAUACCGAUGGCGAAGGCAGCCAUCUGGCCUAACACUGACGCUGAGGUGCGAAAGCAUGGGGAGCAAACA